UUUGGUUAAGUUUUCAAGUUUAAUUUGUUAUUUGCAGCCAAAAAAAUCCUAAUAAAGUUUAAAAAAAAAAAGUUUAAGCCUGAACUAAAGCAGUGCAGUGUGGCCGCAGAAAACAGGGUUCCAGAACAGAGAACGAUUUAGAUUAUGAAGUCAACAGACAGGAGACCAGCUGCCUUGUCAACUAGCCAAGCUCAGCUACUUACAGACAUCUCCUCAUGUACCCUCCCAAGGCAACGAUGAGCUUCAAAAGGGGACUGCACUGGCUCCACACGACCUAGAAACCACCCAUCCACAAGCAGGUGCCAAGGCAGCUCAAGAAAGAUAAGUAAGGCCUCCUCCGCAUGAAAGGGGACGGGGGUCCCGGUCAUCUAGUGAACACCUGGGCCCUGAACCCACUAAGAAGACAGCUGGGUAACUAGCACUGGUGAACCAUUCCGGGCUGAGUUCUCUGAGGCCUGGGGAUAAGAUGACAUCACUACCUUCAUGGGGUAGCAACUUGACUGUGGAAAGAUCUUCAGAUUUCGGUGCAGCAGCAUACUGGUUGGCCCCAUAGGAGAGAAGAGGAAAAGGGCUCAGCCAAGCUUCCAUCUGGCACAGCUUAGCCCCGGCACCUUCUGGAAACAGGCUCCAAACUAAAGAAAAGGCGUAGCCUUUCCCAGGUGGAUGGAGUUCUGCCAACUCUGACCCAAAUCUGCAUCCCAGCUUUGUUGGAUGAACAGGGCCACAUGUGCAGCCGGCAGCGAGGAAUGCGGGAAGCCUGUCCUAGCCCCAGGUCCCUCCAUCCGCUGGAUUUCUGAACGGAAGCGGUCUCCACUUCUGCCCAGAAGCCUGCCUCCGCUCACAGAAUCAGACAACGGGCUGCAGCCGAGUUUCUCCUUUUGGACCAUACCAAAGAUUCAGGAAAGAUUUAACCAUAAACGUCCUCCUGCCCCAGGCUGAAAAGUUCCCCCUCCGCUCUUGCAGAACAGAGGAGAAAACCUCUCUUGUUCUCUCUGGUUUCAGCUGGGUUAGGCGAUGAGGCCAGGUCUCCUGGUUUGUGCAUAAGUUCCCUCCCCGCCUGGGCCCCAAAAUGCUUCUCUAAGUGAUGCCCCGAAGCCUUUUCCCAGAAGCAGCCUCAAAGGUCCAAGCAGAAGUGAAGGCUCAGGAGGGGUCCACACAGCAGCCAAGGUCGCAGAGGGGCAGGCGGUGCUGCUGGCUCUGGGAAGGUGGCCUCUUCGUGCCAAGAAACUGUCCAUCUUGGUCCUUGUGGGCACUGCGAAGGGGCUGUAAGCCGCAACCAGACAGCUCCUUUAUGUCCUCUGAGAGAGCCGUCCCCGCGGGGCCCCCACUGCAGGUUUACUGAGCACUUGGCACCCACAAGCUACCCUCAUCUUCCAACUUUUGUGACAUUGUUCCUUUUUCCACUCCAAAGCAAUCAAGAAUUUUCAGGACUCAAUGUCUCUCUUGCCCUUCAAACACCUCUGGUGAGGAAUGCCACACCAGGAACACGAAUACACGAUGAUUACCACCUCCGGCUUUGUGCAGAGGCAACCAGAUGGUCCGCUUGGUGGGGGCAGCCACAACAGACCAAGAAAGAGAAGCUGAGGAGUGUGGCCAGACCUUGAGACUGGCUCAAAGAGAGCUGCCUGCUGGGAGCCCAGCUCCCUCUCCAGCCCCCAGGGCUGGCCCUACAGAUAACUGCCUCCUUCUAGAAACUCAAGGACCCCAGAGGAUGCACUGCAGCUCCUCCAGCUCUCCAGGGGCUACAGCCUCUCCCUUACCCCACUGCAGGUCCCGCUCCACACCUGCGAGGCCCGCACCUGAGGGCAGACCGGGCCCGCCAGGCAGAGGGAGGCCAAGGCACCCAGAUGGCUCAGCACCCCCCUUUCUCUCCCUGCCUUUCUCCACUGGCCACCAGGGAGGGGCCACGGCCUCUUUGAGAUGCUGGAGCAAGGGGACACUGGAGCAAGAGCACCACCCACCCAGGAACACAACAGCCAAAAGGGGUGGUUGACCACUGAGAGCCCGGCUCAGGGAGAAGCUGAGCAGGUGACAAUGAGACCGGCCUCACCACAGUCCCAGGAGGACAUACAGAUCCCAGCAGAACCAACUCCACAGAGCCUUUUCAACCCAGUUUUUAAAAAAUGAAUUCAACACAGUAGAAGAAGAAAGAAAAACCAAUGCUCUGUUAAGACCGAUUGUAUGUUUCUUUCUGUUCCCAGUAAGAGGUUACUGGGGUACGCAGAAUAUCAUGUCACAUUUUAACAGAUUUAGGACCGUAUCUCAGCUCAGUUCUUCUGCGCCUUUCCUGAAAGCAUCAGUUAUGCUCACAGAAGACGAAGAUACCUCACACAGAUACAGUUCCAAAAUCGGAAGACACACAGAAAAUGGUUUUUCUCUGGCAUUUACCUUAGCAAAAUAUUCUGUUAUCUGUGGUUCUUGUUCUCCCCUUGGAUGUUUGCUUGUUGGGGGGAGGGGGGCAAUUUACCGAAACAACACUUUCUGGAAUUGAGAACUUAGAGAAAAACCAGCUCCCUUCCUCCGGGUUCCCACGCAUUCCCAGGUCUCCGGAUGGGACGGCGGGGGACACCAGUGUCAGGGGCAGGACGCUCGCUGCUCCCGGCCCAGCUCAGGGGUGCGGCUGCAGCUGCCCCACUCGGGUCACACGUGUGCACGUCACACAGACAUAAAUGCACAGCAGACACAGCUCAGCCCUGGGAGGGACAAAGGGGGAAGGAGAGAGAAACUCUGUGUGUGAUAAG
ensembl:lncRNA